rnacentral:misc_RNA from 1 species
AAGUCGUAACAAGGUUUCCGUAGGUGAACCUGCGGAAGGAUCAUUUAAUGAGUUUGAACAGGACUUGAUGCUGGUCUGCUCUGGCGGACAUGUGCUCAGUUCUACUCAAUCCAUUCAACACCUGUGCACUUUCAAAGUUUGAAGUCCUCCGUCAUGGGAGCUGCGGUUUUGUAAUGAGACUGCUGGGACUUCGCUUUGCCCAUUAUCACAAACCAAUUUGAAGUCUUGUAGAAUGUAACUAGCCUAAGGGCUUAAUCUAAUACAACUUUCAACAACGGAUCUCUUGGCUCUC